rnacentral:rRNA from 1 species
UACGUAGGGUGCGAGCGUUAAUCGGAAUUACUGGGCGUAAAGCGUGCGCAGGCGGUUUUUUAAGACAGGCGUGAAAUCCCCGGGCUUAACCUGGGAACUGCGUUUGUGACUGUUAGACUAGAGUACUGUAGGGGCAGGCGGAAUUCCUGGUGUAGCGGUGAAAUGCGUAGAUAUCAGGAGGAACACCGGUGGUGCAGACGGCUCUCUGGACCGUAACUGACGCUGAGACACGAAAGCGUGGGUAGCAAACAGG